rnacentral:rRNA from 1 species
UACGAAGGGGGCUAGCGUUGCUCGGAAUUACUGGGCGUAAAGGGCGCGUAGGCGGACAGUUUAGUCAGAGGUGAAAGCCCAGGGCUCAACCUUGGAAUUGCCUUUGAUACUGGCUGUCUUGAGUUCGGGAGAGGUGAGUGGAAUGCCGAGUGUAGAGGUGAAAUUCGUAGAUAUUCGGCGGAACACCAGUGGCGAAGGCGGCUCACUGGCCCGGUACUGACGCUGAGGUGCGAAAGCGUGGGGAGCAAACAGG